rnacentral:rRNA from 1 species
AGAGUUUGAUCCUGGCUCAGAUUGAACGCUGGCGGCAUGCCUUACACAUGCAAGUCGAACGGCAGCACGGGAGCAAUCCUGGUGGCGAGUGGCGAACGGGUGAGUAAUACAUCGGAACGUGCCCAGUAGUGGGGGAUAACUACGCGAAAGCGUAGCUAAUACCGCAUACGCUGUGAGCAGGAAAGCGGGGGAUCGCAAGACCUCGCGCUAUUGGAGCGGCCGAUGUCAGAUUAGCUAGUUGGUGGGGUAAAAGCUCACCAAGGCGACGAUCUGUAGCUGGUCUGAGAGGAUGAUCAGCCACACUGGGACUGAGACACGGCCCAGACUCCUACGGGAGGCAGCAGUGGGGAAUUUUGGACAAUGGGGGCAACCCUGAUCCAGCCAUGCCGCGUGUGCGAAGAAGACCUUCGGGUUGUAAAGCACUUUUGGCAGGAACGAAACGGUUUGCGUUAAUACCGCGAACUAAUGACGGUACCUGCAGAAUAAGCACCGGCUAACUACGUGCCAGCAGCCGCGGUAAU